rnacentral:rRNA from 1 species
CAAAAAAUAUUUAUUUUUCCAACAGUUUUUUGUAAAAAAGCUUAAGCCCUUAUUUACUUCCUCAGAGUCCUUUCGUACAAAUGAGAACCAAUAUUAGUAGAUAGAAACUGUCCUGUCUCACGACGGACUGAACUCAGAUCGCGUAAGAUUUUAUAGGUUGAACAAACCUACCCUUGGAAACGGCUACACCUCCAGGACAUCUUGAUCCAACAUCGAGGUCGCAAACUUUCUUGUCAAUAUGAACUCUCAAAGAAAAUUACGCUGUUAUCCCUAUGGUAACUAUUUCUUAAUACCAAAAAAUUGUGGAUCAAAACUAGAUUUAAAUCUUCAACUGUUUAAUCCUGUCUUAUUAUAAGAUUAAUUGCCCCAAUCAAAAUUUAAUAUUUAUUUAUAUUAAUAAUAAAAAACUAAAGCUCAAUAGGGUCUUCUCGUCCCACUAUCACAUUUUGGUUUCUUCACCAAAAUACUAAAUUCAAUUUAUAUAAAGAAAGACAGUAUUUCCUUCGUCUAGCCGUUGAUUCCAGCCUGCAAUUAACAAGCAAAUGAUUAUGCUACCUUUGUACGGUCAAAGUACCGCAGCCGUUUAAUCAAAAGAUCACUGGGCAGGCAGAACCCUAUAAUUUUUAAUCUAAGGGCGAUGUUUUAGGUAAACAGGCGAGGAAAAUUUUGCCAAGUUCCUUUCCUUAUAUUAAGGCUUCUCUCUCUUCUAAGAUAAGAAUACUCUUUUAUAGUCAAAAACAAAAAACUAUCGACAAUAUUAUUUCCUAAAAUAGAGAAACUUUACUCAUAGAACCAUUAUCACCUAAAAUUAUUUAACGUCCAAUUAAAUUUCAUAAGUACAGAAAAUCCUACAAAAAUUAAUCACUUAAUUAUUAAGGAGCUUAAACGCUCUCUUCACAGAAAAAAUGCUUAAAUCCUACCUCUUAAUAUUAUUUAAUAUCUUUAAUGUCUUUACUUUAAUUAACAGGUUAUUUCCUCUAAGAACUUAACGAUCAACCGAUAAAUUCUCCAAAGAAAAACUUCCAUUUUAGCUAAUACUAAUUUUUUUGGAAAAAAGCUAUCAUAAUAUUCGAUUAACAUUUCACUGCUAUCUUCCUCUCUAGCCUUACUUUUUCUACAGUUAGACUUACCAUCAAAUAUGGGGAAAAAAAUAGAUCAUAUUAUUUCGUUUAUAAAGAAAACCUCUUUAAUUAUUUAGUCCUCCAUAAUACAAAAGGUAAAGCCAAAAACUUUCUUCUAAAUUUUUUUAUUUUUAUUAAUUCUAACAACCUUCUCAGUAAAAAAUUAUAGGUAUAUAUUAUACUUUCAAUAGAUUUUACUAACAAAAAACUUUUAGUCAAAAUACUUUCCAUGACCUCCAUUAAUUAAAUUUUAAAACUUUAUCAUCC